rnacentral:rRNA from 1 species
AAGAACCCCGGCGAGGGGAGUGAAAAAGAACCUGAAACCGUGUACGUACAAGCAGUGGGAGCACGCUUAGGCGUGUGACUGCGUACCUUUUGUAUAAUGGGUCAGCGACUUAUAUUCUGUAGCAAGGUUAACCGAAUAGGGGAGCCGAAGGGAAACCGAGUCUUAACUGGGCGUUAAGUUGCAGGGUAUAGACCCGAAACCCGGUGAUCUAGCCAUGGGCAGGUUGAAGGUUGGGUAACACUAACUGGAGGACCGAACCGACUAAUGUUGAAAAAUUAGCGGAUGACUUGUGGCUGGGGGUGAAAGGCCAAUCAAACCGGGAGAUAGCUGGUUCUCCCCGAAAGCUAUUUAGGUAGCGCCUCGUGAAUUCAUCUCCGGG